UGGGGAAUUUUGGACAAUAGGCGCAAGCCUGAUCCAGCAAUGCCGCGUGCAGGAUGAAGGCCUUCGGGUUGUAAACUGCUUUUGUACGGAGCGAAAAGGCUUCCACUAAUACUGGGGGCUCAUGACGGUACCGUAAGAAUAAGCACCGGCUAACUACGUGCCAGCAGCCGCGGUAAUACGUAGGGUGCAAGCGUUAAUCGGAAUUACUGGGCGUAAAGCGUGCGCAGGCGGUCUUGUAAGACAGGUGUGAAAUCCCCGGGCUUAACCUGGGAACUGCACUUGUGACUGCAAGGCUGGAGUACGGCAGAGGGGGAUGGAAUUCCGCGUGUAGCAGUGAAAUGCGUAGAUAUGCGGAGGAACACCGAUGGCGAAGGCAAUCCCCUGGGCCUGUACUGACGCUCAUGCACGAAAGCGUGGGGAGCAAACAGGAUUAGAUACCCUGGUAGUCCACGCCCUAAACGAUGUCAACUGGUUGUUGGGUCUUCACUGACUCAGUAACGAAGCUAACGCGUGAAGUUGACCGCCUGGGGAGUACGGCCGCAAGGUU
rnacentral:rRNA from 1 species